AAUAGAUACCCGGGUAGUCCUUGCCGUAAACGAUGUAUACUUGGUGUAACUGGAAUCAACCCCGGUUGUGCCGAAGCGAACGCGAUAAGUAUACCGCCUGGGGAGUACACUCGCAAGGGUGAAACUCAAAAGAAUUGACGGGGACCCGCACAAGCAGUGGAGCAUGUGGUUUAAUUCGAUGCAACGCGAAGAACCUUACCCAGGCUUGACAUGCAGAGGACAGCGCCAGAAAUGGCGAAUCCCUUCGGGGUCUCUGCACAGGUGCUGCAUGGCUGUCGUCAGCUCGUGCCGUGAGGUGUUGGGUUAAGUCCCGCAACGAGCGCAACCCUUAUCAUUAGUUGCCAACACGUAAAGGUGGGAACUCUAGUGAGACUGCCUGGGGUUAACCAGGAGGAAGGUGAGGAUGACGUCAAGUCCGCAUGGCCCUUAUGUCUGGGGCUACACACGUGCUACAAUGGACGGUACAGAAGGCAGCAAAACCGUGAGGUGAAGCAAAUCCCGAAAGCCGUCCUCAGUUCAGAUUGUAGU
rnacentral:rRNA from 1 species